rnacentral:rRNA from 1 species
CUUUUGUGACUGAGUGGCGGACGGGUGAGUAACGCGUGGGUAACCUGCCUCAUAGAGGGGGACAACAGUUGGAAACGACUGCUAAUACCGCAUAGUAAGGAGAAUUCGCAUGUUUUCUUCUUGAAAGCUUUUGCGCUAUGAGAUGGACCCGCGUCUGAUUAGCUAGUUGGUAAGGUAACGGCUUACCAAGGCGACGAUCAGUAGCCGGCUUGAGAGAGUGAACGGCCACAUUGGGACUGAGACACGGCCCAGACUCCUACGGGAGGCAGCAGUGGGGAAUAUUGCACAAUGGGGGAAACCCUGAUGCAGCGACGCCGCGUGGAGGAAGAAGGUCUUCGGAUUGUAAACUCCUGUUGUUGAGGAAGAUAAUGACGGUACUCAACAAGGAAGUGACGGCUAACUACGUGCCAGCAGCCGCGGUAAAACGUAGGUCACAAGCGUUGUCCGGAAUUACUGGGUGUAAAGGGAGCGCAGGCGGGAAGACAAGUUGGAAGUGAAACCCAUGGGCUCAACCCAUGAACUGCUUUCAAAACUGUUUUUCUUGAGUAGUGCAGAGGUAGGCGGAAUUCCCGGUGUAGCGGUGGAAUGCGUAGAUAUCGGGAGGAACACCAGUGGCGAAGGCGGCCUACUGGGCACCAACUGACGCUGAGGCUCGAAAGUGUGGGUAGCAAACAGAAUUAGAUACCCUGGUAGUCCACACUGUAAACGAUGAUUACUAGGUGUUGGAGGAUUGACCCCUUCAGUGCCGCAGUUAACACAAUAAGUAAUCCACCUGGGGAGUACGACCGCAAGGUUGAAACUCAAAGGAAUUGACGGGGGCCCGCACAAGCAGUGGAGUAUGUGGUUUAAUUCGACGCAACGCGAAGAACCUUACCAAGUCUUGACAUCCUGCGACGGUUCUGGAAACAGAACUUUCCUUCGGGACGCAGAGACAGGUGGUGCAUGGUUGUCGUCAGCUCGUGUCGUGAGAUGUUGGGUUAAGUCCCGCAACGAGCGCAACCCUUAUGGUCAGUUACUACGCAAGAGGACUCUGGCCAGACUGCCGUUGACAAAACGGAGGAAGGUGGGGAUGACGUCAAAUCAUCAUGCCCUUUAUGACUUGGGCUACACACGUACUACAAUGGCGUUAAACAAGGAGAAGCAAGACCGCGAGGUGGAGCAAAACUCAGAAUCAACGUCCCAGUUUGGACUGCAGGCUGCAACUCGCCUGCACGAAGUCGGAAUUGCUAGUAAUCGCAGAUCAGCAUGCUGCGGUGAAUACGUUCCCGGGCCUUGCACUCAAAGCCCGUCA